ACUUUGGUCGUGGGCGCGUGUGUGGAAUGGGAGGAGGUCGCGCUGUCCAUGGGCGUCCUUGGCCUGCGCCACCCAGGUGAGCGCUCCGGAGGCUGCGAUCCCCGGGUCCCGACCGCCCGCCUAGCACUGGCCUGAUGGGGAAGCGUCCCGGGACUGGAAGGGCAGCCGGCUUGCGCGCGUGGUUCCCACGCCCCUCGGGCUCGGGGGAUCGCUCCGGGUGCUGGCUGCGGGCUCGGCGGGGAGGACCCCGGGAGCGCGUCCCUGGGCCCCACGUCGGCCUCUGCGCGGGCAAGCCCCUGGGCUCUUUGGCUCUAGACGCUUUCCAGGCCUGGGGAAACCGCAUGCGUGGACGUGGGAAACGGGGCGCGUGACGGGGAGGGGCGCGCCCCGGGGGCCUGUGGUCGUUCCGAGCUUCCACCUGGCCCGACGCAGGCAUGUGCCCUGCCCGCCGCGUCGUCCCUGGGCCUGCGGGGGCUGGGGCCUCAGCUGAGAGUCCUGGGAAGGUGGUGCUGGAUUGUGGCUCUGUCGCGGGGAUGAGGGGUUGAUCUGGGAAGCCCUCAGGAUGUGUGUGUGGCUCCUGGAAGGUGACGCACAUUGUUAGCUUCAGUAAGGUUUUCAACACCAUGUUUCCGCAGAACUUGGUCAUAAUAACUAUAUCGCCUUCUAAUAGUGCUUUUGGGGAGUUACUCAUUUUAACAGCUACUACGUGUUGAAUGUCCUCUUGUUUGCCAGGUGCAGUUCUCAUCCCUAGGGGUGGAGAGUUGAAGAAGAUAUAUUCAGUUAUUUUCUUUUUUAAUGCUUGAGCUAACAAUGAUUUUAUCCUUUGCUUUCUUAAAGGUUUAAUUUGCUCUUAGGUGGACAGAAAAGCAUAAACUGAAUUUUAACUACAAGUUGGUCACAGUUGAAAAGCCUCAUGUGUGGUUUGAGUUUUAGCUUAGAUCUCUCCUUACAUGUCUUUCCUGACAGCUCCUCAGAUUUAGACAGUGUGAGGAUCAAAACUGUAUGAAGGUGCUUUACUCUUGAUAAUCUGUGAACGUCAACUAGGAAAAUUUUGAGUGUAUUAGAAAUGUUUUUCGAACUCUUUGAGAGUCUAGGCAAUUUCACUUGGGUUCUGUGAUUAAUUUGCAAAGUAUUAGGAUGAAAUCAAGAAACCUGCAGUUUUAAUUGAAUUGACUUUGGUUUUGUUUCUCAAAAAGUGGGACAACAAAAAUACCUACUUAAGACUACUGUUUCAGGCACUGUCUAAUUGCAUUCAUCAGAUCUUAUUAUAUUCAUUCCAUGAGGAAUCGAAGACCUAUUCAGUCAAGCAGCAGCCCAAGGUUACACGUCUAAUAAAGGGCACAUUCCCAGAUCAAGCCCAUGUAGGCUGACUCUAGAUUCUGAUUUUGAACUGCUCUGUUUCUGAAUUGGAGUUUAACUCCUCUGUUACCCCUAGAUUAAUGGUGAGUAUUUUCUCUCACCCAAGUUAAUUCCAUUAACUCUAAUCAGAACCCUAAUUUAGCAUAUUUCCAGUACAGUAGUUGCGGAUCCAUCCUACUCUAGAGUUUUUGUGCUAUGUGUUAACUGUCUUUUAUAAAUGAAGGGACGGCUUCCUCUGUAACAUACGGGAGCAUUGUAUAAUCUUUGAACAGGCAAAAGCAUUCCAGAGAAAAGAUAGAUGAAUUUCAUAUAUUUUUAUUAAAACAAUUUUAUUAAAACAUAGAUAAAUACUGGAUUAUUUAAGCAAGUUGCAGUCUAUGUAGGUUAACCACUAAGCUAUGCUUCCUCUCUUUGCAUGCGUGUGUGUGUAUACGUGUGUUUUUCCUAAAGAUACAUCAAGGCUUAGUACUUUCACAAUGAGUUAAGUCCUGCGCUGUGCCUUGAAAGAUGAAGGGAGGGAGUUAGAGGCAAAGAUGAAUUAACAGGUUAACAGGAUCCGGGUCCAAGUCCUUAGAUGCCUAUUAAAGAGUUCAGGCUUCACUCUGCGGGAAGUAGGAAGAUUUUUGAAAGACUAAGUACUGGAAGGACAUGAUCAGGUUUGCAACUUAGAACUAUCACUGUGGCUGCAGACCUAAGAGUAGACGAGAAGGGUGGGUAGAAAGGUUAGGAAACUACAUUUUCCGAAGAAAAACAUGGAAAGAACUGAAAGGGUGAUCCUGGAGUCAGAGCCAGGUAGAGAGUUUAGGGAUUUAAGGAGGAUUUGGUAAGAGAUUUAUUGUGAAUCCUACAUCCUAAAAUUUUAAUGUUUUUUUUUCUUUUCUAGAGAUGAUAAAUAGCCAAAGACGUCAAUGGCACCCAUGGACAUAGUAAGCAUAGUAGGAGCUGAAAAACUAGAAGCAAUGACAAUGUCAACUAUUUUGAGCAAAAAGAAGCAGUGUCUUCGGAACAUUUGAUCAUAAAACCAGAAAUUAAAGGAUGAGAAAAACAUUUUUCUGAAGCUUAUACUUUCACAUUUCCUAGAGAGCAUAUUUGUGUGGAUGGGGGUGGGUAAACACUCAACAAAAGUUUCUUUAAAAAGAAGAAACCAUCCUGGUUUGAUGUAAUCAAUGGUUGCCCACUGCUCCCUUCCUGUGCCUGUGACCCUUCCCAAACUGCCCUGUUGCUUGCAGGCUCGCCUGAGCUGAAAGGCAGCCCUCACAUCCCGUCGGCACCUCCCUGGGGCCUUCUUUACACCCUGGAGAACUUCACAGGGAAUCUGUGUCUGUAACACAAAGGCUUCCUGGUCCAGAUGUAGAUACUAAGGCUGACUGGUUAUUUAAGUCCUGCGGACUUACUCUGCCAAAAUUAUUUAAUCAUGUAAAAAUAAUUUAUAAUUCUUAUAAAGUAUCCCCUUCAUAAUAUAAUGAAUGUUGGUGCUAUUACAUUUAAGUGCACAUGUACAGUAUACAAGAUUAUUAAUAAUAAUGUUUUCAAAUAGUUAUUGUCAAAGCUAUUUUUCUUAUGUUUAUGAAAGUGCUUAUAAAAUUCAUGUUUUAUGAGGCUGGAGAUGUAUAUUUUGUAAUUUCAUUCUGAUAUUUGUUAAUAUUCGCUUCCAAUGCUGGUUUUGUUUGAUGAGACUGACAUUGCCUAAUUUCAAGCUUUUUGAAUGUGUAUUCUUUCAGGGCAAGUAUGAAAUAACUAGUAAAAAAUAUACAAAUAUGCUUAACAAUAAGUAGACUUUCUCACAUUGAUUACUUACAACAGCUUUAUGUGGGGUGAAUCAGAUGCCUGUAUUACAGAAGCAUCUAAUGCAAAGCAAAAUAAAAACACUUGCAUGAGCGCACAGAGGUAGGUGUGGAAGAAAGUGAAACACUAUUUUAGGUUUUAGUUACACUCUGCUGUGGUGUGCUGCCUAGUAUUUGCAGGUUAAUGCAAAUACUAGGGGUUAUGAAUUGUUUCUAAGUUUAUUAUUAAAAAUAGCCUUGCUUCAUUUCUUCCUAAAAUGGAGACAAAUAUGUAUAGUGUCUGUGUUACCAGUAUGUGUAAGAGUAAUAUCUUAAUGCGUGUAAAAUGUUUAUAGGAACCUGUAUUUCAAAGAGCUAUUUUUGCAAGUGACACUAUCCUUUUAAGAAACUUUUUUAUUCAAACUUUUUCCUCCAUUUAUAACUAUUCUAUUAUUUCUUAAUGUUCAGAACCCUUUUCAUUAUCUAUAAGGUUAAAUUUUAGGUAAGUAAUGAGAAAAUAAUAAUAUGUGGAGAAGAAAUGAGUGAGGAGUCGAGAUGUGUGUCAAUCAAGAAUGAGUUUGUCAGCCCUUGUAUUAUGAUUUUACUCGGGAGGGGAUAAUUAUUGAAGGAUGUAAUGUAAGGGCAGUGAUACUAUAUGGUAUGUAAGACUGUUAAAAUCACUGAGGUAAGCUAUUACUUGAACUAAGCAUAGAAAUAGAGACAGAUUUUUAAUGCAUUUAAUUAUCAAAAUAUCUAAAUUAAAGAUUUGAUGUGGUUGUUCACUGGAAACAAAUGGCAGACAAACAGAAUAUUUCUUGGAAUCAUAAAUGACAUCAUCCUGUCUCCAACUUUCUGUGUAGCUUCUUUCUUUAGUUGGUCUUUGCUUAGAUUUCCCUGUGUCAGAGACGACUUCCCUGGAUAUCAGUGACAGUUAUUGAUUGCUCAUGCUAUGAACUCCUCCCAUUUCUCAGCCCUCUUGCAGUAGGUGGGGCCAUGGUACUAGUUGUGGCUUAUUGCUUAAAGACUUUAAGGCUCCAUGUGUGACUUUCCAGCUCUGGUCCACUGCUACUGCGGCUCUGGCAGGACUAGGGAGGUGCCCCGUGUCUCAGAUGGUGCAGCCUCCAUCCAGCUGUGUCCCUGAAUGACUAGAGCACAGCCACUGGUGACCUGUGGUGGACGUAGAAUGUGGGUAAGAGAUAAACUUAUGCUACACCGCUGGGGUUCAGGGGCUAAUUUGUUACCACAGCAUAGUCAACCUUUUCUAGCACCCCAUUCUGUCUAAAUUUAGUAGUCCUACCCCACUCCAUGCCUCCCCAACCCUUCCCCUGGCUUUAGUUUCUUUGUAGCACUGGUCCCCGCAUGACCUGUCGUUGCUUUACUUUCUCGCAUCACUUCUCCCUGCCUCCAGCACAUGCACUAAAAUUUAAACUCCAUGCCUGGACAAAAUCAAUGUUUGUUAAAUAAAGUCUGCCAGUUCUGUUUGCGAUUUUUCAGAAACAAGGAAAGAAAUCCUAUAUAAAGUUGAUCUGUGCUUUGGCAAUAUUCAUUUAGGGUAAUUGCCCUUUUUUCAAAUGGCUGUGCAUUUUUUAUGAUGAUGAAUAUAAAGUAUUUAGCAGAAAUAUUUUUUAUUAAAAUUGUUGAGCUUAUGGAAUCAAUGUAGCAGCCUAUGUGAAAGAAACACUGUGCUAGAGAGUUGUCUUUCUGCCACGUGUAAUCAUUACAUUUAACUCAAGUUCUCCAUGGGAGAUCCAUGCAGAGAUAUGAAAAUAGGACGGACGUCUCUUCCUUCUUAAAAGUUGCUCCAGAUUUUGGCUUCAAGUGCUUCCUGUUUUUUGCCCUCCCUUAUCCCUGGGAGUUCCCUCUAUUUACUUUCACAAGGACUCUUGGUAUAAAAGAUAUUUGUAUACCUGGGUGUGUGGGAAGGAAUUGAAGGCAAAGGUAGCAGUCAUUUCAAGCUGAACAUGUUAAGUGGUAAUCGAGCACUUGGUUUUUGUAGUACCUCCUGUGGCCAUCUCCACAGUGUCAUAUUUGAAAGAAAUCUUGUGUAAGCAUUGGUCUAAGGGUCACUGACUGUGAAUAAUGAAUGCGGUGACAGCAUGGCCAUCUUAGAGACAGGCAGGCCAGAUAUUGGUUACUUUGAUUUUAGUUGACAAAGUUUAUUUGCUUUUAAGUUUUAAAGCAAUACAGCAGUGUGAACUUCAAGUUGUAAACUUUCAUUUAGAAAGUUUAAAAUUUAGUUGAAAUAUAAAAUAUUCUGAAUCUGAAUAAAAAGUUUUAAAACUUAUUCUUCCUUUUCAGUUGUUUUAAACACAAAUGAAUCAAGAACAUGAUUAUCACCAAUCAUUACAUGUUUAUAUUUCUGUUGUAUACUGAAGGGAGUGGUGAAAUGAAUGCUGGAGGAGGAUUUUGGUUGAGAAAUUGGGAGGAGGAGGAAGUAGCAACUAAGACUGAGACGAAUGGCCAGUUAGGAAACUCAAGAAUAUGAAACACUAGAGAACAAUAAAGUGUUUCAAGAAGAACUUAUGGGCAACUGAGUCUAUUACAGUUGAUAGGUCAAGUAGGAGGAGAACUGAGAAGUAUCCAUAGGAUUUGACAGCAUUCAGGUCAUGGGGAAUGAGGAGCUAUUUUUGUGGAGUGGUAGGCACAAAAACCUGACAUGGUGGUUGUAAGAGGAAUCAAGGAGAAGGAGAAGCCAUGAUUAUUAGGGGUAUUUGAGUUCAAGACAUAUUGAGGCUGGGCAUGGUGGCUCACACCUGUAAUCCCAGCAUUUUGGGAGGCCAAGGAGGGCAGAUCACUCGAGCCCAGGAGUUGAGUCUAACCUAAGCAACGUGGCGAAAUCUGGUCUCUACAGAAAGUACAAAAAUUAGCCAGGCGUGUAAUGUAGUCCCAGCUACUUGGGAGGCUGAGGUGGGAGGAUUGUUUGAGCCCAGGAGGUCGAGCAAGCAUGCAGUGAGCCAUGAUCUUGCCACUGCACUCCAGCCUAGAAGAUAAAGUGAGACCCUGUAUUAAAAAAAAAAAAAGAGAAAAAGACAUUGAAAAGUAAAGUUAAAAAUCUGUUUGAAGUUAGAGAGCUAAAUAAGAAUAAUGAAAUAAAGCCAGUAGAAGGAAACAAAUGAGAAAAAAGCAGGCAAUGACAGAAUAGAAAAAUUUUAAAAAAUAAUAAACCUAAAUCUGUUAUUAAAAUGACUAAUAAAAACUGAGGAAAAAGAGCAGAAAUAGACAUCAUGAUGAAAAAGGGGGACAUAACUAUAGGUACAAUAAUUUUUAAAGAAUCUGAAAGAACAUGCACUGCUUUCUAUGACCUCUUGGCCCUCAGCAUCCAUUUCUACAUCAUCAUGAUGGGGGGAAAAAUCAGGUUCUAGAGUCACAAAAUAGGAACCGUGGCUCCUCAGAGGGGCAGUAGAGCAUAGUGGUUUAAAAGCAUAGACUCUAGCGACAGACCACAUGGGUUUGAAAACGCCCUGACACGUACUAAUCGUGACUUGGCUAGUGCCUCAGUUUCUCAUCUUUAAAUGAGGAUGAUGGGAGUCCUUACCGCAUUAUUUGAAUAAAUAAGUCAGUUUGCGAAGAAGCACUUAGAAUAGCUCCUAGCGUAAAGUGAACACUGUCUCGUGUGGGUAUUAUUGAGUACAAAAAUUUGUAUAUAUAUAUUUUUUGAGACAGAGUCUCGCUCUGUCACGCAGGCUGGAGUGCAGUGGCGUGGGCUCGGCUCACUGCAAGCUCUGCCUCCCGGGUUCACACCAUUUUCCUGCCUCAGCCUCCCGAGUAGCUGGGACUACAGGCGCCCGCCACCACGCCCAGCUAAUGUUUUUGUAUUUUUAGUAGAGAUGGGGUUUCACCGUGUUAGCCAGGAUGGCCUCAAUCUCCUGACCUCGUGAUCCACCCACCUUGGCCUCCCAAAGUGCUGGGAUUACAGGCAUGAGCCACCACGCCCAGCCUGUUAAAUAAUUUUUAACUCUACUGACCAUAAUUUAUUAUACUCCCCUCUUUAAAAUUCAUCCAAGAUAAAUCAGGAUCAUUAGUGGCAACUUUAUUUUUAUUCUGAGGUAUUAGUAAAUCCUUCAUUUUAUAAUUUUAAGCAUUAAGUGAGCAUUCGUAAACUUGAAAGGUUUAAGCUAGAUCUACUCCUAUCCAGAGCUAAAUGAGUAGAAAACCAAUACCCCAAGUUACCUGCUGACAGCCCAGUAACUCCCAUGUGUCCAGGGCCAGGUGUUCCUAAGUGCCUUCUGUUCUGAGUCAUCCAGAUUAGUCUAGGAAGCCUGUAAGUUGUUCUGUUGGUGCAGUUUUGCUUAAAGUACCUACAUAUUAAAGUGGCUUAUUACCUCAAAACCCUAAAAACCUAAUUUAAGUAUGUUUAAAAUACUUCAGCUGACAUGAUAAACUUUCCCCAUCUGCAGAAGGGCAUUAACUCAAUUGCUAAUAAAAGUCUUCUUAUAUAUGGUGUUUUUAAAUGAUUUUUCCAAAUUUUCAUCUCUGUUAAAUGCUAACAUUUUUCAUUUUAAAUAUUACUGGCUGAUACUUAAAGGAAAUCCAAAUACUGCCUUUGACAACCCUUAAAUAUUCAUGGCUAGAGCUUAUGAAUCAUGGUUUUCUUAAGUUAGGAAACAUGUUGCUAUUACAACAAUUUUUCAGAGUGAGAGAAUGCUAACAUAGAUUAGUUUAUUUAUGUCUAAACAACCUAACUUAGCAUUUAUUGUUUUCUGUUUGUGUGUGUGUAAUCUAUCAUUGUUAUAAGAGACAUAGCCAAAGAGGUGAAGAUCCAGCUCAGAUGCUAUGAGGGGGGUACAGCUACUCAUGUGUGCUUGAUCUGCAGAGUUUAGCAGAGCUCCUUAUUAAGCGAGCUAAAAGUACUCAGGUGCUAAACGCUGUGCCAAAUAUUUAUGUUGAAAGCAAACAAAAACAGCCCCUGACAUCCAGAACUGAUCUGACAUUCACAUUUAGACCUCAAUACAAGCUAGUCUGAUGUUCAUGGCCAGACUCUUGUGUUCUGCCAUUGGGCAUGUACAGUCUCACAGAAUAUCAAAAAAGUGCAGUCUGGAAUCAUAACAAAAUGAGACAAUAACAAGGUCACUCUGCAACACAAAAUUCUAAACAUUCCUAUCACCAAAUGAGUGCCUGCUACUGUACCAGUUAUAGCUCUAUCUUCAUGCUAGUCUGUCCUCCCUAUGGAUAAUAUUUAUUGAGAUACUCAGUUAUAGAUUCACCUAGAAAUCUAUAAUUUCUGACACCCUCCAAUCUAGAGCAAGCCCCCACUUCCUUAGAUGCUCUGCCAAUUCACCCAACCAAAGCCCAGUUUCUCUAAGAGGCUCUUUAUAACACCAUCUUAUUGAGACAUCCCUUGGUUCCCUAUGCUGUGUCUUCUCACUAAUUGCAAGGAGGAAUAAACCCAACCUGUUUAUAGGGCUGUUCCAGUGGGCUUUGGGUAAAGGGUGUUGAUGAUGUAUAUUGUCUAUUGAGUCCUCAAGGCAAUUCCAUGACUUAGUUCUGUCAAUUGAGAAAAAUGAUGAGACAAGUCUCAAUCAUUUUAGGAGAUUUAUUUGCCAACGUUAAGCACGUGCCCAGGAGACAGGUCUAUGCCCUUCUGCGAAGAUAAUUUUGAGGGCUCCGAAUUUAAAGAGGAAAGGGUAGGAAAUUGAGAAGUACACAAUUUUCAUGUAAGAGGGGGCUAGAGAAAAAUAGUUACUCAUGCCUUUGGCUCAGUGAGUCUGCAUUUUUUACAUAAGAUGACAGAAACAAAUGGGGCAGAGGAAAAAUGUAGGGAAUUUGCAUUUUACGUAAGAUAAACAGACAAAAUGGGGAAGGGGAAUAAUCAGAUAUGCAUUUAUGUCUGGUGGGCCAGGGUAACUGCCCCUGUAAAGAUAAGCUGUCAAUUACCAUUCUCAUGGUGAAAUUUUAACAGGCCAGUAGGAAUUUCCUUGUGGG
rnacentral:lncRNA from 1 species